AACUUUCAGCGACGGAUGUCUUGGCUCCCACAUCGAUGAAGAACGCAGCGAAAUGCGAUACGUAAUGCGAAUUGCAGAAUCCAGUGAAUCAUCAAAACUUUGAACGCAUCUUGCGCUUCCGGGAUAUUCCUGGGAGCAUGCUUGUUGGAGUGUC
rnacentral:rRNA from 1 species